UCAACAGAAACCUGUUUAUCAAGUCUGUGCUGUUGUUGCAACAUCACUUUUUUCUGGACAGUUCCAGAGACUCAGAAAGAUGAAGUUUCCAGAGGAGGGAAUUUGGAUAUGUCCUGUAAAUGUUGGAGCUCAUUGGAUUGUAUUGAUUGUCAACAUGUGUGAAAAAGUUCUUGUGCUGAUCGAUCCAUUGGAAAAUGAAGGUGCUUA